rnacentral:rRNA from 1 species
AGCAGCCGCGGUAAUUCCAGCUACAAUAGCGUAUAUUAAAGUUGUUGCAGUUAAAAAGCUCGUAGUUGAAUUUCGGGGUUAGUAGGUUGGUCAUGCCUCUGGUAUGUACUGGUCUCACUGAUUCCUCCUUCCUGAUGAACCUUAAUCCCAUUAAUUUGGUGUUUUGGGGAAUUUGGACUGUUACUUUGAAAAAUUAGAGUGUUUAAAGCAGGCAUUUUUGCUUGAAUACAUUAGCAUGGAAUAAUAAAAUAGGACGGCAUGAUUCUAUUUUGUUGGUUUCUAGGAUCACCGUAAUGAUUAAUAGGGAUAGUUGGGGGCAUUAGUAUUCAAUUGUCAGAGGUGAAAUUCUUGGAUUUAUUGAAGACUAACUACUGCGAAAGCAUUUGCCAAGGAUGUUUUCAUUAAUCAAGAACGAAGUUAGGGGAUCGAAGACGAUCAGAUACCGUCGUAGUCUUAACCAUAAACUAUGACCG